UACGGAGGGGGNUAGCGUUGUUCGGAAUUACUGGGCGUAAAGCGCGCGUAGGCGGAUUAGAAAGUUGGGGGUGAAAUCCCGGGGCUCAACCCCGGAACUGCCUCCAAAACUACUAGUCUAGAGUUCGAGAGAGGUGAGUGGAAUUCCGAGUGUAGAGGUGAAAUUCGUAGAUAUUCGGAGGAACACCAGUGGCGAAGGCGACUCACUGGCUCGAUACUGACGCUGAGGUGCGAAAGUGUGGGGAGCAAACAGG
rnacentral:rRNA from 1 species